rnacentral:rRNA from 1 species
CGGGGCUUAGUGCCGGAGCUAACGCAAUAAGCACUCCGCCUGGGGAGUACGACCGCAAGGUUGAAACUCAAAGGAAUUGACGGGGGCCCGCACAAGCGGUGGAGCAUGUGGUUUAAUUCGAAGCAACGCGAAGAACCUUACCAGGUCUUGACAUCCCGAUGCUAUUCUUAGAGAUAGGAAGUUACUUCGGUACAUCGGAGACAGGUGGUGCAUGGUUGUCGUCAGCUCGUGUCGUGAGAUGUUGGGUNNNNNNNNNNNNNCGAGCGCAACCCUUAUUGUUAGUUGCCAUCAUUAAGUUGGGCACUCUAGCGAGACUGCCGGUAAUAAACCGGAGGAAGGUGGGGAUGACGUCAAAUCAUCAUGCCCCUUAUGACCUGGGCUACACACGUGCUACAAUGGCCGGUACAACGAGAUGCGAGCCGGUGACGGCAAGCUAAUCUCUGAAAGCCGAUCUCAGUUCGGAUUGGAGGCUGCAACUCGCCUCCAUGAAGUCGGAAUCGCUAGUAAUCGCGGAUCAGCACGCCGCGGUGAAUACGUUCCCGGGCCU